GAUGAACGCUGGCGGCGUGCCUAAUACAUGCAAGUCGAGCGAACAGACGAGGAGCUUGCUCCUCUGACGUUAGCGGCGGGCGGGUGAGUAACACGUGGAUAACCUACCUAUAAGACUGGGAUAACUUCGGGAAACCGGAGCUAAUACCGGAUAAUAUAUUGAACCGCAUGGUUCAAUAGUGAAAGACGGUUUUGCUGUCACUUAUAGAUGGAUCCGCGCCGCAUUAGCUAGUUGGUAAGGUAACGGCUUACCAAGGCGACGAUGCGUAGCCGACCUGAGAGGGUGAUCGGCCACACUGGAACUGAGACACGGUCCAGACUCCUACGGGAGGCAGCAGUAGGGAAUCUUCCGCAAUGGGCGAAAGCCUGACGGAGCAACGCCGCGUGAGUGAUGAAGGUCUUCGGAUCGUAAAACUCUGUUAUUAGGGAAGAACAAAUGUGUAAGUAACUAUGCACGUCUUGACGGUACCUAAUCAGAAAGCCACGGCUAACUACGU
rnacentral:rRNA from 1 species